UGUAAUCAUUAACAUUUCAGAGACUUAUAUUUUAAUUCACUCCACAUAAUCAUUAAUUGCUAGAAUCAGCUUACAGAUAUUGUAUCUGACCACUGUAUACAAUAAAGAAAAAAAUUCCUUUAUUAAGGAUGGUAAACAAUUUAUUACAAAGUGAUCAGGAUAGUCAAGAAUUACCACAGUUAACUCAAUUCUUGAUUUAUUAGUGGUUAAGAGAAAUGUUUGGGGAACAUUCUCCUCCUCAGGUAUUAGUACAAUCAAAAGACAUCUGGACACUAAAAUAUCCUGCACAAUCAUUUAUCCCAAUUUCAUACAUCUCAUUUUUUCGUAAUGUUGUUUACUCAGGGAAUUGUUCAAAUUCAUUUUUAAUUUUCAAAAAUUGCAUAAUAUGUUUUAAGUUUCAUUUAACCUGGAGAAAUAAUCACCAAACCCAGAAUCUGGCAUAGCUUUCAAAGCCCAAAGAGGUGGCAACUCUACUUGUGAGUGUAAAGUCAGGAUUUCUGGCAAAAUUGAAUUUCUAACUCAUUUCAUCUCAAAUUUUGAUGGAAUCAGGUGUUUUAUUGUGCUGUAGUCAUAGAGUUGUUAAAAAUUUCCAAUUCAGUCAAUUUAGAAUUUAUUUUAUAGAUUCCCA
rnacentral:lncRNA from 1 species